GAUGAAGAACUUAGCGAAAUGCGAUAAGUAGUGUGAAUUGCAGAAUUCAGUGAAUCAUCGAAUCUUUGAACGCACAUUGCGUCCUUUGGUAUUCCAAAGGGCAUGCCUGUUCGAGCGUCAUUUGUACCCUCAAGCUUUGCUUGGUGUUGGGCGUCUUGUCUCUAGCUUUGCUGGAGACUCGCCUUAAAGUAAUUGGCAGCCGGCCUACUGGUUUCGGAGCGCAGCACAAGUCGCACUCUCUAUCAGCAAAGGUCUAGCAUCCAUUAAGCCUUUUUUUCAACUUUUGACCUCGGAUCAGGUAGGGAUACCCGCUGAACUUAAGCAUAUCAAUAAGCGGAGGA
rnacentral:misc_RNA from 1 species